rnacentral:rRNA from 1 species
AUUGAACGCUGGCGGCAUGCUUUACACAUGCAAGUCGAACGGCAGCGCGGGCUUCGGCCUGGCGGCGAGUGGCGAACGGGUGAGUAAUGCAUCGGAACGUGCCCAGUAGUGGGGGAUAGCCCGGCGAAAGCCGGAUUAAUACCGCAUACGACCUGAGGGUGAAAGCGGGGGACCGAAAGGCCUCGCGCUAUUGGAGCGGCCGAUGUCGGAUUAGCUAGUUGGUGGGGUAAAGGCUUACCAAGGCGACGAUCCGUAGCUGGUCUGAGAGGACGACCAGCCACACGGGGACUGAGACACGGCCCAGACUCCUACGGGAGGCAGCAGUGGGGAAUUUUGGACAAUGGGGGCAACCCUGAUCCAGCCAUGCCGCGUGCGGGAAGAAGGCCUUCGGGUUGUAAACCGCUUUUGUUCGGGAAGAAAUCCUCUGGGCUAAUACCCCGGGGGGAUGACGGUACCGGAAGAAUAAGCACCGGCUAACUACGU